rfam:Oryza nivara chromosome 5, whole genome shotgun sequence.
AAAAAAAACAAACCCUGGUUUCCGUGUCUAACGUUUGACCGUCCGUCUUAUUUGAAAAAAAUAUAAAAAAAAUUUAAAAGAUAAGUCACGCAUAAAGUAUUAAUCAUGUUUUAUCAUCUAACAAUAAUGAAAAUAGUAAUUAUAAAUUUUUUUUAUAUAAGACGGAUAGUCAAAUGUUGACACGAAAAUCUAGGUUUUUUUUUUUU